GGACAGGGAGGGAGACACCGGCUUACGACGUCAAAGGAGUACAGACACACACACACAGGGAGAGGGAGAGGACAGCCAGCCAGCCAGACCGCCAAUUCCCCACGGUCUACUGAAGGAAGCCUAAAUAUUCAUCUAUCAUCAACACUCUCCGCUUAGCCAAGCCAGUAAGAGAUUUGUUUAUUUUUAUAUUAGGGAGGAGAGGAGGAAAGAGAGAAAAAAAAAAAAUACGGAGCAUCUGUCAGGAGAGGGGAGGGAAAAAAACAACAAGCAGAUCUAGAAAAGCACGCUCAUGCCGAAUAAAGGACCGUCGCUGGAUGUUACUAGUGUUGUUUUAGGGGGGGAGCAGGCCUAACUUGUUACAGGAUUCAAAGACGCUCUGACACAAAUGAACUAACUGAGGUUUAAUAACUAAAUAACAGCGGGAGGAAGAAGAAGAAGAAGAAGGAAUCUACUGAUCGCUCCGAUUCUUUGCCACAAAAAAGCACCACAGCCUUCUCAAUGAAGGAGCCUGACGCAAUCAAGCUCUUCAUCGGGCAGAUACCCCGAAACCUGGAGGAGAAGGACCUGAAGCCCAUCUUCGAGCAGUUUGGCAAGAUCUAUGAGUUGACGGUGAUAAAGGACAAAUAUACGGGGAUGCACAAAGGAUGUGCCUUCCUGACAUACUGCGCACGUGAGUCUGCCCUCAAAGCCCAGAAUGCACUGCACGAGCAGAAGACGCUACCGGGGAUGAACCGUCCGAUCCAGGUGAAGCCGGCCGACAGCGAGAGCAGAGGGGAAGACAGGAAGCUGUUUGUGGGCAUGCUGGGAAAGCAGCAGACGGACACCGAUGUGAGGAAAAUGUUUGAGCCGUUUGGGAGCAUAGAGGAGUGCACGGUGCUCCGCGGGCCCGACGGCACCAGCAAAGGGUGUGCAUUUGUAAAGUACCAGAGCAACGCAGAGGCCCAGGCCGCCAUCAACGCACUGCAUGGUAGUCGCACUUUACCGGGCGCCUCGUCCAGCCUGGUGGUGAAGUUUGCCGAUUCGGAGAAGGAGCGAGGGCUCAGGCGGAUGCAGCAGGUGGCCUCUCAGCUGGGAGUCAUCAGUCCCAUGACCCUGCACCUCGGGGCCUACAACGCCUACACACAGGCCCUGAUGCAGCAGCAGGCCUUGGUGGCGCAGUCAGCCUACCUCUCUCCUGUUGCCACGGUGGCGGCGGUCCAGAUGCAGCAGCUCGCCGCUCUCAACCCCAGCAGCAUCAUUGCCACGCCGAUUGCAUCCAUCACCCCGUCCUCAGGUACCAGCACUCCACCCUCCAUCGCGGCCACACCUGUUCCCGCUCUGCCUCCGCCCAUCGCGGUGAACAGCUACCCCUCUGUGCAAGCCCCACCCAACGGCCAGUCGGCCACGGAAACCCUGUACACUAAUGGGGUUCAUGCCUAUCAAGCUCAGAGUCCUGUCCUGGACCCCCUGCAGCAGGCUUACACAGGCAUGCAGCACUACACAGCCACCUACCCCGCUGCCUACAGCCUGGUGGGACAGCCUUUCCCCCACCAGCACACGCUGGUGGCCCAGCAGCCGCAGCAGCCGCAGCAGCUGCAGCAAAGAGAAGGUCCCGAGGGCUGUAACAUCUUCAUCUACCACCUGCCGCAGGAGUUCACCGACUCCGAGAUACUGCAGAUGUUCCUCCCCUUUGGAAAUGUCAUCUCCGCGAAGGUCUUUGUUGACCGCGCCACCAACCAGAGCAAAUGCUUCGGUUUUGUGAGCUUCGACAACCCAUCCAGCGCCCAGACUGCCAUCCAGGCCAUGAACGGCUUCCAAAUCGGCAUGAAGAGACUGAAGGUGCAGCUGAAGAGGCCCAAGGACGCGAACAGGCCUUACUGAAGGAGACCUGUCCCGUCCAUACAUAUAUCGUGGAGACGUGCGUCGCUAUGGCUACGGUUGCCUAGCAACCGCUAAAACCUCCCCCCUUCCUUCUCACUGCGUUGAAAACCUAAGAGUUCAAUCAAGAAAACCACUUGGGGGAUGUCCCAGCCUUUUUUGGUUGUUUGACCAACCGUAUAGCACAGGAGCGACACUUCACAAAAAGCAGUAUCACGUGACAUGCGCUUACAGAAAAA